GCGGUCGUGGCGAAGUGGCGAACGCACCGGAUUGUGGCUCCGGCAUUCGAGGGUUCGAUUCCCUUCGACCGCCCCA
rnacentral:tRNA from 1 species